UUGUCAUACACCGUCCACGUAAAAAGUGCGAGGGGUGGCGCUCUCUGCGAGAGGGAACAUACGCAGCUUCCCGCCUAACCACACUUCAACGACGGGAAGAGUGUGUGUGCGCGCGCGUUACUGUGAAGAUGGUGAAACGAGGAUCUUCGUCGUCGGCAAAGAGACCUGAAGAGGCUAAUCCAGAGGUGUUAGAGAGAAAGAGGCUGAAAAAGCUAGCCUUCGCCAACAACAUACUGUCAGAGGCACCCGUUAGUGCCGAUUGUCCUCUUGCCCCUUCGAAGACGGUGAUUAAGCACCACGGUAAGGACAUUUUGAAGAAGUCUCAGAGGAAGAACAGGUUCUUGUUCUCGUUCCCGGGUCUCCUGGCUCCAAUUGACGGCGGUAAGAUCGGGGAUCUAAAGGACCUCGGCACAAAGAAUCCCGUUCUCUACCUCGAUUUUCCUCAGGGUCAAAUGAAGUUGUUCGGGACUAUUGUUUACCCGAAGAACAGAUAUCUCACUUUGCAGUUUUCUAGAGGUGGGAAGAAUGUCGUUUGCGAGGAUUAUUUUGAUAACAUGAUUGUAUUUUCGGAUGCUUGGUGGAUUGGGAGAAAAGAUGAGAACCCAGAAGAAGCCCGACUUGAUUUUCCUAAGGAAUUGACUGAGGGGCAGCACGUUGAAUGUGACUUUAAAGGAGGCGCAGGUGUGGCAUCUGUAGAUAAGCAAGUUGUUCAUAAAAUUGGAAGAAAAAACCCCGAAGAACUCUCCCCAGAAGUUGAAAUCCAAGAUGAUAUGUCCGAGGGUGGGCAUAGUUUGAAGAAAUCGAUGGAAGUGACACCUAUUCGACAUUCUGCAAGGAAUUCUGGGAAAAUAUUAAAGUUUGUAGAUAUUUCUUCUGGAGAUGACUCUAUUGGAAGUGGCACUGAUGUUUCUGAAGAAGAAAAGAAGCUUGGUACAGAAUUCAAAUCUUCUGUCAGAAAUAAGAAGGUUGGAAAGACGGGUAACUUGUACCCUGCUGUCAUUGACAUUGACUAUUCAAAUGCCUCCGAAGGUGAUGAUAAUUCUAAACCCCAAGUUAACUUGUCUGAAGCGAAGUCUGAACAACUAUCUUUGCCUUCUGUUGCAUUAAAUACAUUUGAGGAAGACAAACGCACCAGUCAUGGUUCACUUGUUCAAGCUACCAUAUCUACAUUGUUCAAGAAGGUCGAUGAGAAGAAAGUAUCAAGAAAUCCGAAGAAAUCCCCAUCUUCAAAAGUUUCUGGCCAGAAGCCACUGCAUUCUGAUUUGAAGAGGAAGAUUGAUAAGGAUGAAGGGCCAAGGAAAAAAGGAAAAAUUAAUGAAGAAAAUACAAGUCCAAACCUAGCAUCUGGCUUUGUUGAAUUUGUAGGGACAGGAAACAAGAGGAAAAAGAAAGCAGAGGAGGUACAUUCUCUAUUCCAAAUAUAUAUUUUCAAGGGAGCAUUGGAUACUGUUGAUUCUUGAUUUCAUCUUUCCUUUCAAGAACUUUUUUCCACUGAUCACGUUGAUGACGAUGAAAUUGAAGAAUUCUCGAGCUCAUCACAGGAUACCAUAGGAAGCGAUGAAGACUGGGUUGCUUGAGAUUGUGUUGUUGGAUGUCAAAACAGCAUUUCGACAUGGAUAUUACUUCCCGGCCAUAAUGUGAUAUUGGAGGGCUAUUCACGCAAUGAUUAUUCCAACACCUUUGCAAAUUUUAGAAAUGUGAACUGUUGGCUUUGUUGUAUCUAAUUGGCAUCGUGGGGUUUUUGGCUGUGACCAGAUAUUAUUAAGCAAGAUAUUGAAGCAGCCUUUUCUUUUU